AUGUCCCUUGAUGUUUUCUUGGAGCUCUCUGAUAUUUUGAGCUUUGGCCAAUCCCAAUUUGAAGAACAUCCAAGCAGAUUCCAGCACUCAAGACUCAGACCAGACACCGGUAUAGAAAAGAGAAAUGGAAGUAGUUGGACAAAUGCUGGUGAACAAGUGAUAUCUUCAGUUCACCUGAGCAAAACUGAACCUAAUCAAGAGGUAAUUGAGUAUCAUAACAAUAGUAAUUAUGAGAAGCCACUCUCAGGAUGCCGGCAGGUUUUGCAAUUUGACCUGACAGAAACAAGUAUUUCAAAAGAAGAGCAACAGGACAGGUGUUUUCCUUCUGGUUCUGGAAGUGUUGCUUUGCAGCAACUUAAAGAAGAUGUCCUAGGAACUAGAGCUGGCAUGGAGGACUUUAUGGAAUUCCUCCAUAACACAUUAGGAAGCCACCUGUUAAACUUCUGGAUUGAUUGUGAAGAUGUCAUGGAUUGCACCAGGCACUUGGAGGCCACAGUUUCACCACAGGAAACACAGCUGUUCUUCUCCAGUGCCUUUCGGGAUAUUCAAGCCAAGUACAGGCUGGCCGUCCCCCCUGCUUUUCAAGAACAGCUUGAGGAAAGUGUAGGGGAAGAGGAGACAGCUUUUGCUUCCUUGAGCAGGAAACAAUAUGAUGCCUUAAGACGAUUGCGUUCUUACUGGGUUCCCCGAUUUCUAAUUCACUAUCAGAGAAUCAGGCAGUUAAGGUUUGAACCCAGUUCAGAGGUGCCUAUUGAAGAGGAGCUUUCCUGGAGUAGUGGUUUCCCAUUUUCUUUGCCUAUGCUUCCUGCUGUGGGUGACCAAAAGGACGUGGUGAACUACAUGAAAAGAAACAAAGACUGGAAAAUGAUGAAAAGCAGAAAAGGAACAGGAUCAAACCGAACUUUGAGGUCUCUUAAAGACUCCUUUGAAACCCUGACAACCAUCCGGUUUCUUGAGGCAUUGAUGUGCGAUCUAGGAGAUGGGGAUGGUUUCCUUCACUACUUGACUCGGUUUGAGGAUCCACAAAAGAUUAAUCAUUUGUUGCUGUGGAAGAAGCUAAAAUGUUAUGAAAAUGCCCAGGAGAACCAAGCAAGCCCAUCUGAAGUACAAAAUAUAGCCUGGCAGAUUUUUCAUAUGUUUCUCGCCACUUAUACAGAAUGCAAUUCAGAGCUUAGUUCUAGUAUGCUGGACGACAUCCAGCAUCUUGAGAGAAUACUUUCCACUGGCAGUGGAGACUUGACAUUUUCUGCUUUUCAACCCAUGAUUCAAUAUGUGCUGCCUAUUAUGGGUGAGGCAUGGCUCCAUUACGUCCGCCAUGAAGUCACAACUUUCCUUGAAUACUGUGUACCAAUAUCUCAUUUGGAUGUCCAAAAUCCUGAAAGCAAAGACCAUAGAAGCAAUCAGGAAAGAAUUGGGAGGAUAAAGAAGCAGAAACCAAACACCUAUGUUCAUGGCUCAAAAGAAAGGUUACACAAAAAAGUGGGUAAAAAGAAGGUGGUUUCCAAAUCUCCCACAGGGGUGAUUUCCAAAUCUCCCAGCAUAAGCAGUACAGACCAGGGAAGUAGAGAAAAAUCACCAGUUCUUCAGGACUCACCCACCCCUCAUAAUGUACCAGAUUUUCUUAGCAACCCAGUUAUCUUAAAUGUGUACAAAAAGGCAGCUUGUAAAAUGCAGAAUAUAGAGCUUCAGAUGGUUUUAGGACUGCUACAGGAAACGGAGGCCUGCUGGGAAGUCCCAGAACAUGAAAAACACCUGAAUUGUGCAGUCAAAUUUCUAGAUAUGUGGAACAAGCUGGGGGUUUUGAGAUCCAGUAUCCCCUUCCCCAAAGAACUGAAGAAAAAAAUAAAGGAAGAAGUGGCCCAGGGAGAAAUUACUGACAUCACCUGGAAUGAAAUCCAGAUCUUAUUACGUUCCCUGGUUGUUCCUACUUUUGAGCAGUUUUGGGAUGAGAUGAGUGAAGGGUUGAAGAAAUAUGGACUGAUGCCUUCUCAGAUUCCAGAAGAACGCUGGUGCAAGCUAGAACCAUUCCUAAAUGUGAUAGCUGGAAAAGUAGCUCUUAGACAUAUGAGGAACAGGGAAGCACAAGAUGCAUCAGCAGCCACAGCAAAACCUACAAGAGAAGACAAAGACUCUUUUUGGCAGUCUCUACAAGAGGCUGCAGAAGGUUGGCCCACUGUGGAGAUGCUCCAUUUCAUUAAACACCUCCAGGUAUAUGGCACACCUGUGCUGGAGAGUGGUUUGCAUUUUCUACUGGAAGUGCAGAAAUUUAAAAAUGCUCAUCACGACUGGCCUGACAUGACUCUUCUGAAGAAAAAGGUUCUUGUCAUACGUGACUGUUUCCUUGCUUCUCAGGUUGAGCCUCGGCUACAGGUGGCUGUGGAUAAUAAGAGGCUGGGCAGAGCUAUCCGGGCAGCUGAGCACGCACUCCAGAAGGAGAUUCCACCUCCAAGUUUAUUUGACAGCCUGAAGGAUUCAGUCUCCAGCAUGCUAAUGCCAUAUUGGGCUGCCUUUCAAAAACACUGGCUCAAGAGAUCUGUGGCCAGUGCACAAAGAGUUCCAGUGCUGAGAAAUCAGCUACUGCUGCAGAAGAGACAGGCCAGGCUCAAUGAAUCGCCAGGCUCUCUUCGGCUGCCACCACUCCAGCAGCCCAAAGAAAGCAAUGGAAGCAAGUUGCAGGAUGGUUUUAUAUACUCUUUCUCCGUCAGUGAAGGACUUAUAGUACAGAAUCCAAACAAAGAAGUCCUGAACAUUAGCUCUGCUGUUUUCAGGAGCAUGAGCAAACCCAAUGGGUUUGAGUUUCCUUCUCUUCCAAUGUACCAGUGCUGA
rnacentral:lncRNA from 1 species